GACAAACGCUGGCGGCGUGCAUAAAACAUGCAAGUCGGACGAGCCAAUCCCCGCAAGGGGAAAGGCUAGUGGCGAACGGCUGAGUAACACGUAGGUGACCUGCCCUGAAGUGGGGGAUAACGACUCGAAAGAGUCGCUAAUACCGCAUGUGACCACCGAUUCGUUUUCGGUGCUCAAAGUCGUAAGACGCUUUAGGAGGGGCCUGCGGCGGAUUAGCUAGUUGGUGAGGUAAUGGCCCACCAAGGCUGCGAUCUGUAGCUGGUCUGAGAGGACGGCCAGCCACACUGGCACUGACACACGGGCCAGACUCCUACGGGAGGCAGCAGUGGGGAAUUUUGGGCAAUGGGCGAAAGCCUGACCCAGCAACGCCGCGUGAGGGAGGAAAUCCUUCGGGAUGUAAACCUCACAAGCAAGGGAAGAGAGCUGCGGGCUGAAUAAUCCCGCGGUACGACGGUACCUUGCGUAAGCCACGGCUAACUACGUGC
rnacentral:rRNA from 1 species